UCGUUGCAAUGGCAGCCCCACCGAGACGGCCGGGGGGCGUGCGCAGUAAAGGCCGUCUUUCAGUGCCGCCACAGCCCUUGUCGAUCAAAUUCGAUCUCCUGCACUGCACCCUGUGAUGAUGGAGGAGUGAAUACUGAAUGGGUAGGCAGGGCAGGGAGAGGUGCGUGCGUGAGAACGGGCGCAGAGAUGACAGAUUCUGCCUGCGUGCAAGAUCCAAGGAGACAAAGGCGGACGCGCCUGGCCCUGCCCUGCCUUUUCGCGAGCACACACAUUCAUGUCCGGCCAGGCCCCGGACCCUCAAUCAUGCGUGCGUGUGCUGUUGCUGCUCGUCAGCCACAACAAAGUCCUGUUACCUUGUUGCUUGUGCACGAGGGGUGGUACCCUGGGCCUUUUCUGAAGAAAGAAAAAAAAUUCCUUGGCUUGUUUAAAGAUCACAGAAUAAAAUAUGCAUAUUGAAAGUUCUAUGUGAUGAUGAAAAGAGUAAGAAGGUUUAUUGUUUAUCAGGCCAAGAGGAUAGUAGGUG
rnacentral:lncRNA from 1 species